AUGGAGUGUGGGGGCCAUUUUCAGUCUGCUACAGCAGCACCACAUCAUCAAUCAUUGUGGGACAGUGGUGGGGUGACAACAUCCUGGUGUUCAGAGUGGAAUAGUGUGUACAUUGGCUGCUGAGUCGGGACAAGGAUGCUGAGGAUGUGGUGGACAAGGAUGACCUGAAUACACAGAAGGAGAGCCCCGGUUUUGAUAUAGAGUUGGUACGGCAACAGCACCAGUCGGGCCCGCACAAGCCUCAAGUCAAGCAAGACCCCUCCCCUGACCCCUAGCUUCUCCCAUUUGACUUCCAGCUUCAAAGGGUCAGCAUCGUUGAACAAAUUCCUCCUAUAAAAAAUUUUGAGCACAAAGAGUUUUCACACAUGGUUCUCAUCAACCACAAUUUUCGUGUCGAGUGAUCCGCACUUGAGCCUGUUUGGUUUGUUAGACCCGAGUGCCAGAGAUGGGACAACCGUUACAGACACAAGGACUUAUUGCAGCAGUUAUGGCAACAUGUACAGUCAGUUCUCAAUGUUGGACUUCACAACUAAUAUCACGAUAAAUACAAAGUUGGAUAACUCGUUCCAUUCUUUUUGGGACAAACAAUACAACGGAAAGUAACAAGAGAAAAUCAAGGAAUAUUUGUAGAGUUUUAGUCGGAAGCGUAUGCUUACCACUGGCAUACUCCUGGACAGUCGUAACUUUACGGACAGUCCCGAUUUGUCCUCACAGGUGUCCAAACUGUCCAAAGAGAACGCACUUUUGACGCAGUUGCUAACUUAGAAAGGCAGCACCUACUUUGUUGUGAACACUCAGAGCAUCCAUGGCCAUGCCUCAGGCGGGAAGUUCGACCAACAGCUGAAACAAGAUGCUAAAGGUGAACCCAUCAGGGUUUGUAACUUCCCACUCCAAUCCUAAACAGCCUGGCAUUGAGUCGGCGCUUGAGAAGGCGUUGAAAAAUGACAGCAGUUUUGUUUUGUGGUCCAGUAUGCCCUUUGGCUCUCAACCUGAUGUUAGGUAGAACUCAAACUGGGCCCUUAGCAAUAUCAGCGAGGCUAGAAUGUCAUCUCUGCAUCUUGAGCUUCAGAAAACAUUAUAAGCAAACAAGACAAACAUCAUGAAUGUUUAGGCAAUCCCAAUCCACUUAUACUACAACUCGCUCAGGAAAUUCAGCACGCCACCUUUUAACAUCUUCUCACAAGGCCCUAAAUCAACACUUCCAACAGCCGAGCCUUGGUGAGUUAAACUUUCAUCAUGACGAGUCACUCGAGAUGAAACAAUCUGAUCCACAGAUAGAGCAGACGCUGAGUGACUCGUCUGUUAACGUGACUGACCUUUAUAUGUUGCUCUCUAAUAAUGUGAACCUGGCGCCUGAGGAGCAGUGCUGUCCUACAUUCCCUGUUCUGGGUGGAGACUUUGGCGUCAAGACUCACACAAUCUCUGGCCCUGUCGCAGCAGCAACAAAAACAGGAAGUAUUUCAGCUGCACUCUGGGAAAACAGGGCUUAAUGCAUGUGCCUAAAGUGUUGUCCCAGAAAAGUGUGUAAAGUCUGCCCAAGCUAAUUUGUGACCACACUUUCCGAAUAUACCUUAAAACAAAGAAUUCCAUAAAAGCUGAAAGUGUCGUGGCUGAUAAUUUUGUGCAGACUGUACAGGCAAAUCUGGAACAACUCUUUGCGCUUAUGCAUUUAGCCCAGUUUUUAAAGAGUUUAGAGUUGCACAUUUAGUUCACGUUACAUCAGCUUUUUUCUGACCUUUCUGUAGAAAAGUUCCUAUUACUGAUCAGAAAUUUUGUGUUUUUAAAUUGGUCAAACUGACUAAAUAAAUACAUAUAAGAGUUGAUUUGACAUCAGUUUUAAUCAUAAAGGGUCAGGGCAUAUUUUCAUACAUUUUUGUGCAAAAAUUAAGCCUCUAAACCAAAAGGUUUUUGUUUUGUUUUCCACAUGUAUAUUUACAAAAUUCCCCUUGCAUAAAUUAAAGAAAAUGCUUGUUAUUUUAAAUUAAACAAUUAUUGAAAUGCAGUCAACAUUCUAUGAAAUAAUUAUCUGCAUUUAUUUUUAAAUAAGGAUAUCUAUAAAUUAAAAUUAACCACCUGUCCAUGUUUUAAGUAUACAAAUACGCGCUGGAGUAAGAAUAUGCCAGGUUUUUUUUUGGGUUGUGGGGGAAGGGGCCUUUAGCCCUUAUGUUGGGGAAAUUCUACGCACGAUUUUCCACUUUGGGGAAAAAAUGUGCGCGUGGGAAUUUUCGCGGCAUGUCCCUUUUUGGGGGAUUUGUUUACUUACUUUCUCAUUAUUACAAUACAUGUGUACAUGUUUAAACUAUAUUCAUUGUUUUUUUCAUAAUUUAUUACGUUUGGCAAGAUUAAAUUAAAAUAGAAUUGAGAUAAUAUAAUCAUGAGACACAUCUUUCUAUUAAAAAAAAAAAAAAAAAAAAAAAUUGGGGGGGGGGGAUUUUUGGUCCUGAAAGGGGAAAAAACCAGCCUAGUUUGGUGGGGGAAGACGCCGAUAUUCGGCGUCUGUUAUAUAAGGUAAAAAAAACUCUGUAUGCCCUGAAGAUAUUUAUUCAUUAUACCCCCGUGAUGAUUGGGGUAUAUAGGGUAUAUAGGAAUCACCUUGGAUGGAUGUCUGUCGGUCUUUGUAAAUGUCUGUGGCCUGUGGGUGUUCACUUACAAAUUCAACGUUCAGCAUUCAAACUUUCAGGUAGUUUCAUUCUCAUAUGAGGUUGUGCAUCUACAUUUUGUAUCAUAUUUCACUGAAAAUUACAACACUUAGACAAUCUAUAACAUCAUGCGACAUAUUAUGACUUGCAGAAUUGGAUGAUAGUUUACGUCACAAUGGUUACAACUUUUUGUUUGACUAGAAAGCAAUGAUACCUUUUUAGCUUAUAGUAUUUGUAUACAGAUUAGAAGAUGUAGUUUCUUCUAACAAUUAAAAAACACAACAUAUUUUGCUUUGGGAUAUAGUCAGCCACAUAACUUGUUAAUUGAAUGGUCAUGAAAUAAUUGUUAUGUCCAUUUUCUCAAUGAUUAUAGUAUGGCAGUUGUCAGUUACUGGCAUAAGUAUAUGCACUAAGUUGAUCCAGGAAAAGGUUAAUUUAAUGACCACACUGCUACGACUAAAAUGCAUUUUUAUUUGUGUAGAGGUCUAUUAAAAUAUGAUAAAAUUCCUGGAUUUUCUAGAUUUUCCAGUUCCUGCAGGACCCCAUGUAAUCACACAUCUUUACACAGCUGAACAACAACAGGCCCUCUGGUCAGUUGGGCUCCCACAUCCAUGGACAAUGCCUUGGUAAAGGCGUCAAGCUCUUGGGUCAGGAAUUUUGGGCAAAGCUCCUACCCCCAGGGUACAGCCAGUCUAACCAUGGGACUCCAAACUACCCUGCUCAGAGGCCAAGACCACCUCAUCUACAAGGGGCCUUUCCCUCACAAGUUCAGGCCCAGAGAACCAUGUUACCCAACUCCAGCUCAGGCACUACAUCUCAACAGGAAAACAUGUCAAUUUACAAAGCACCCUUCCCUGAAAAUCUGGCCAAGCUAAUAAACAAUGUGAAUGCAUCAACGUGACCCUUCAGAGAAACAGGAUUCCAGGCCGAAUGUCAAACCGUCUGGGCUCCAGCAGUAGCCUCAGCCGUGGGGGUCAGGUUCAUGAUGCACCUAUGCUCUCAAUGCUCUUUGAACAUCUUAAUCUCACAGCAACAGUGGAUAACAUGACCUUCAAGUUGGGGAUGGUUGAGGGUCGCCCAAAACCACCCAGUGCCUUGCGAUGAAAACCUCCAACAGGACUGUGACCUUGCCCUUGUACACACCUAAUGGUCAGGUUGACGGUCACUUGGGCUUAGAUAGUCUCUGCAGUAAGAACAUAAAACCUGGGAAGCAGAGCAAUGAGUAUGUCCCAGGAGCAUUUGCAGUCACAGCAAGUGAACCAGCGGCGGUCAUCGUCUCCAGAUUCUGAGAUCCCCAUGCUUCACAACCCUUAGUCUAUGAAAAUCAUGCAGAGCGAACCUUGGACAUUGACGAAAUCAACCCGGCAAAUCAGAAGGACAGCCUGUUGCUACAGUUAUCAUAUUAACCCCAGUCAUACCAAAGAAGCUCAGAGAUAUAAAUGCUGUUUAAGAUGUGCUAGUCUCCACAUACUCCAUGUCUGGUGUGAACAUGUACAAUUGAAGGUCUCUACAUACUCCAUGUCUGGUGUGAACAUGUACAAUUGAAGGUCUCUACAUACCCAAUGUCUGGUGUGAACAUGUACAAUUGAAUGUCUCUACAUACUCCAUGUCUGGUGUGAACAUGUACAAUUGAAGGUCUCUACAUACUCCAUGUCUGAUGUGAACAUGUACAAUUGAAGGUCUCUACAUACCCCAUGUCUGGUGUGAACAUGUACAAUUGAAGGUCUCUACAUACUCCAUGUCUGGUGUGAACAUGUACAAUUGAAGGUCUCUACAUACCCCAUGUCUGGUGUAAACAUGUACAAUUGAAGGUCUCUACAUACCCCAUGUCUGGUGUGAACAUGUACAAUUGAAGAUCUCUACAUACCCCAUGUCUGGUGUGAACAUGUACAAUUGAAGGUCUCUACAUACCCCAUGUCUGGUGUGAACAUGUACAACUGAAGAUCUCUACAUACCCCAUGUCUGGUGUGAACAUGUACACUUGAAUGUCUCUAUAUACCCCAUGUCUGGUGUAAACAUGUACAAUUGAAGGUCUCUACAUACCACAUGUCUGGUGUGAACAUGUACAAUUAAAGGUCUGUACAUACCCCAUGUCUGGUGUGAACAUGUACAAUUGAAGGUCUCUACGUACCCCAUGUCCGGUGUGAACAUGUACAAUUGAAGGUCUCUACAUACCCCAUGUCUGGUGUGAACAUGUACGAUUGAAGGUAUCUACAUACCCCGUGUCCGGUGUGAACAUGUACAAUUGAAGGUCUCAUCUUUGAAAUUGGGACAGGUGGAAAAUUGAUGCAGACAGAAGUCGCAUAAUGACAAAUCACAACAAAAAGUGAAAAUCCAGACAGUCUUGUGGCCAGCCAUGUUUUUAUGUGACCAUCCAAGUUGUGUUCAAAGAAAACAAUAGUUCAUGUUUUAUUGGAAAUAUGAUGCUGAUAGUCAUUUUAUGUAAAAGGCUUUUAUGAACUGUAUUUAAAUACUCAGUAUAAUAAGAUUAAGAUUACUUGAUAAAAGCAAUAAUGAACAAUAUUAUUUUAAGAGCAAAAUUAGCAAGUCUAUCCAAUUACUGUGUCUGUAUUAUGAAAUUUUAUUUUGGAAAUGUUAAGGAAAAUAUAAUGUUACUAAAUAUAUGUCUAUUAAUGUUCAUUUUAACAUUUGUCAAAGCUGUUUAAAUGAUGCCGGUAACUUUGACAAAAUUGAAAGAAAGUGUAUUCUUUUCAUGUAAUGAGACAUGCUUCAGUUUGUUUUGGCUUAACAUGUAAUAUAGAGGUGGUAGUAGGUUAAACACAUUGUUUAGACAGGUGGAUAAUUUUAAUGCUAAGGCUUUGAUAACUUUAAGUGUGCCCAUUGGUGUCAGGUGUUUUUGUCAAGCAUCUUGUUUAUUAUCUUAGUAUUUCAAGACAAUAUUGAUUAAUUUUAGACAAAAUCAUUUAAUCUUCCUUAAAUUGUCUAUUCGGUAUUUACUACCAGUUAUUUAUUAAUUUACUUGAACAUGAUUUAAUAAUGACUUUUUUGUUGCUUAAAAUGCUUUAGAUCUAUAUGUUUUAAAACUAAGCAUUUAAAAACGAAAAUAUAAGAUGUGGGAAUAAUGUCUAAAGUUAUGAUAGUUAUUUUUUGUUUUUGUAAAGUUAAUUAUGCCUUAUAUGUUUGUGUAUAGACAUUUAGACGACCAGAUUAACCUGACCAAGAAUUCUUGAUCAAUGUGUAUAUCGGUCACUUCAUUUGUCAUUUGUAUAUAGAGCGAUUGCGAAAUGAUCGUAUUGUUAAUGAAAAUCAUGCGUUUAUUGUUGCCAUUUUGAUUUUUGCUGUUAACAUGUAUUUGUACAAACAAUUUUCAUCCUGUACAUCUUUUAGGUGCCAGAUAAUAAAAACAAACAUUGCUUGUGGAGAUGCUCAUUUAAAACUUUCUUAAUGAUACAGAACAACACAUUCUUAAGAGGCUAAUAAAUUAUGCUUUAGGCAAAAGGAACAUCUUGUUACUAGUAUAUGUACUGCUUUUCAUUAGAUAAAGUCAAGCAACUAUUGAAAGAUUGGUUUAACUUUGUUUUGCAUUAUCUUAAGAAAAAUUAAUAUAUACUACUUGGAAAUCAGUCAAUUGCAAAUCAAGCGAGAGUGAUUUAACAUGCUAACACUUGUCAAUAAUUGAAUUGUCUCUCUUUGUACGUAAGAUAUAGGGAUGUUGUUGCUUGAAAAACAAAGUUGUAUCCGUUGUUAGAUAAUGCUUUUGUUCAUCUCUCAACAUAACAAGUACAUUCUUACAGUUAUUAAAAAUAUGACACUCUUUAUUCUCAGCCAUCAGUUUGUAUUGGGAUUUUGUGGAAUACUUACUAAACUAAUAUAUGUCUGUUUAAUGAAUGAAUAGCUAUGGUACAAUAUGAUACUCAGUGUUACAAAACAUGUGUAAUAAAAAUAUAAUGUCAUUUAUUUGAAAUCAUAAAAUUUAGUUGUCCAUACAAUGCUUACAGUUUUGCAAUUGCGAUGAUAAAGGAAAUGUUCUGCUCAAAAUGUCUUUUUAGGACAUGUGUAUAUUGUAGCAAUCAUAUUGUACUUAUAGCUGAUGAUAGCGGCAGUUUACUAUUUGUGUAACAGUUUGUUUCACUUGAUCAUCAGACCAUAUUUCCUUAAACAUGUGAUUGUUUAUAAUGAACUGUAAUUGAAUGCAUGAAACAUUGUUGUUCUGUUGCUUAACAGCUGAAAAUGGCUUGAUGUUUGUUAAUUGUGUGAAAUGUUUCAAAUAAAAUAUAUUGAUACAUUGAAAAUAAAAUUACAUUUUGCGUUAAUUUGAAUGCAUUUCAAACAAUUGUUACCAUUCAAGCAUAUUUGUAUUGAACUUAAUUUAUACUUUGAGAUGCAAUUUUUACAAUAAUGUGUAAAUAUUUUCCUCUUUUCCAAAUGAACAUUUUGCAUUCGUAAAUAUAGGGUUUAUAUAAACUUUAUAGAAACUUAUUAAAUGCUUUAUAUAAAUUGAUUGUGUACCUCAUAUUGAUUUAAGAAUCUCUUAUUUAUUGCACAGUUGUGUGUGCAUAUGUCUGACUUAUGUCUUUAUAGUCCUUAAAGUUAAAUUACUGUAAAUAGUAUUUUAAUGAUGUUAAAAUAUUUAUCUAAACUAUAACCAGGUUAUCUGUUAAAUUAAGUUUCAUACAUUUCCAUUGUCUAGCUAACUAAUUAUGCCCCCCUUCGAAGAAGAGGGGGUAUAUUUCUUUGCACAUGUCGGCCGGUCUGUCGGUCGGUCCGUCCACCAGGUGGUUUCCGGAUGAUAACUCAAGAACGCUUAGGCCUAGGAUCAUGAAACUUCAUAGGUACAUUGGUCAUGACUUGCAGAUGACCCCUAUUGAUUUUCAGGUCACUAGAUCAAAGGUCAAGGUCACCGUGACCCGAAAUAGUAAAAUGGUUUCCGGAUGAUAGCUUAAGAACGCUUAUGCCUAGGAUCAUGAAACUCGAUAGGUAGAUUGAUCAUGACUUGCAGAUGAACCCUAAUGAUUUUCAGGUCACUAGGUCAAAGGUCAAGGUCACGGUGACUCGAAAUAGUAAAAUAGUUUCCGGAUGAUAACUCAAUAACGCUUAGGCCUAGGAUCAUGAAACUUAAUAGGUACAUUAAUCAUGACUGGAAGAUGACCUCUAUUGAUUUUCAGGUCACUAGGUCAAAUGUCAAGGUCACGGUGACCCGAAAUCGUAAAAUGGUUUCCGGAUGAUAACUCAAGAACGCUUAUGGCUACGAUCAUGAAACUUCAUAGGUAGAUUGAUCAUGACUCGCAGAUGACCCCUUUUGAUUUUCAGGUCACUAGGUCAAAGGUCUAGGUCACGGUGACCCGAAAUAGUAAAAUGGUUUCUGGGUGAUAACUCAAGAACACUUAUGGCUAGGAUCAUGAAACUUCAUAGGUACAUUGAUCAUGACUCACAAAUGAUCCCUAUUGAUUAUCAGGUCACUAGGUCAAGGUCACAGUGACAAUAAACAUAUUCACACAAUGGCUGUCACUACAACGGAGAGCCCAUAUGGGGGGCAUGCAUGUUUUACAAACAGCCCUUGUUAAAUUGAAGUGUUAAUAUUCUCGCCUACGUGUAUGGUAUUGUUUAGACGAAGCACAUUACACAACUCAUGUUGUUUUAUCCAUCAUUACUAACCAGUGUUUAGUCCGUAGAGGUUAAAGUAUACUAAACAUUUCGGUUGUGCAAUGCUAUGCUCUCUAAAUAAAUCAACAGCAUUUAUUAAUUUUCUAUUGUGGGCACUUAAAUUCCCAUGACUUUAUUUGUGAAUUUUUCUUUGAAUGUGCGGUAGGAAAAUCAUUGUUUGCUUGAAGGUUUAGAAACUUAAUGUUGACAUCUUGAAAGAUGGCAGAAAACAUUUAACUGCAGAGUAGCUGUAAAAAGAUGUAUGUUAAACAAUGUAAGAAAGAACGCCACGCAAGAUAUGUCAUGCAUUCGAUAUGCAUGAACUAUCUUUUUUAAUUAAUUUGGAUCGGAAUUAUCUUUUAGAAAUGGUAUGGUUAUGAGGGUCUCUAUGUGCAAAAUGUUGCAUUUAUUUUGUGUACAAGUUAUUGCUUAAACAUUGAAUUUGUUAUGGAAAUAAUAUAGUUUAUGUGACUUAAAGAGAUAUACAUGUU